rnacentral:rRNA from 1 species
UAUUGGACAAUGGGGUGAACCCUGAUCCAGCGACGCCGCGUGAGUGAAGAAGUAUCUCGGUAUGUAACGCUCUAUCAGCAGGGAAGAAGAAAUGACGGUACCUGAGUAAGAAGCUCCGGCUAAAUACGUGCCAGCCGCCGCGGUAAUACGUAUGGAGCAAGCGUUAUCCGGAAUUACUGGGUGUAAAGGGAGCGUAGACGGUGAUGUAAGUCUGGAGUGAAAGGCGGGGGCCCAACCCCCGGACUGCUCUGGAAACUAUGUGACUGGAGUGCAGGAGAGGUGAGCGGAAUUCCUAGUGUAGCGGUGAAAUGCGUAGAUAUUAGGAGGAACACCAGUGGCGAAGGCGGCUCACUGGACUGUAACUGACGUUGAGGCUCGAAAGCGUGGGGAGCAAACAGG